rnacentral:rRNA from 1 species
UACGUAGGGUGCGAGCGUUAAUCGGAAUUACUGGGCGUAAAGAGUGCGCAGGCGGCUCUUUAAGACAGGUGUGAAAUCCCCGGGCUUAACCUGGGAAUGGCGCUUGUGACUGGAGAGCUAGAGUGUGGCAGAGGGGAAUGGAAUUCCUGGUGUAGCAGUGAAAUGCGUAGAUAUCAGGAGGAACACCAAUGGCGAAGGCAGUUCCCUGGGCCAACACUGACGCUCAUGCACGAAAGCGUGGGGAGCAAACAGGAUUAGAUACCCUGGUAGUCCACGCCCUAAACGAUGUCAACUAGUUGUUGGGGGAGGAGACUCCUUUAGUAACGAAGCUAACGCGUGAAGUUGACCGCCUGG